AUAGACAUGUAUUUUCAAACAGUUAGAUUUUUUGUUCUGAAUUCUUAUACUGCAAAUAUUCAUUUAAAAAAAAAAUCAGAUUCAAGUUUUCCAGAUGAAGAAAUUCGGAACUUCAAAUUCAGUUUUCUAAAAUUCAAUGUCAAAAAUUCAAACUCAAAAAUUCAGAUCUAACAGAAAGUAGGUCACAGGUCAUCCACAGGGAAGAGUAGAUGAUCUCAGAAAAGUUUUCCAGCGCGAACGUGGUGGUUGUUCAAGAGGUUGACUCUGACUCUGAUCAUGAAUCGCCCGGGGGUAAGUGUUAGAUUAGCUUUCUCAGCACGAGAGACAUUUUGUCUAAGCGAUCUCUGGUGUUUGUUUUGAAGUAUAUUUUAUAUAAAAUUGAUUAGAACGCGACCGUGUGUACUAGGCCUAAGUUACACAGACAGGACGCGAGCGGCACGACGCAACUCGGUGCUUGAAGCGACUGUUGCAAAGAGCUGGGACUAGGUCAGAAAUAGGAGGGGAAUCCGUGUGCGGUUGGGGAUUUCACGGGUCGCGUCGCACCGUUCGCGUCCGGUGUUGUGUAAUAUUCGGUUCCCGUGAAAAACUGUUCCCGUGGGUGGAGUUUACAUGAACAUGCAUUAGUUCCCUGAUCAGUGCACGCUUCUCAAAUCGCUACUUGGAUUAUUUUGAAAAGACUGGAUGAGAGAGCUGAAGUCACUGGUACAGUAGCUGAUCAUUGUAUGAACUGGACAUACAUGGAGGCUGUUCUCAACGAGAGACAAUAAAUAUCUCAGACACUCACCUCAUUUUGCAUUACUUCAUUCCAUGCUUACUUUCACACAACUUUCCUUGUCUUUUCUAUUUGAGUUAUAUUAAUAAAGCAAUUACUUCUGUACUUGUCAUAGUAACAUUUAAUGAAUGUAAUAUUUGUGAUCUACAGUAUUGUUUUUUGAGUAUAAUUUUAAACAGUAAACAUACUUAAAGAUAACAUUUUAUUUGUUAACCUGCACGCCAUGUUACUAUUAAUACACAUCAGAGAACUGUCAACAUUGUUGUUUAAUUAUUGAAAUAUUAACUUUAAGGAAUCUCAGAGGAUAUUAAUUUCGGUAAGCGACAGGAGAACAGAGUUUGGCUGACAAAGAAACAUUCGGGUUUCAUUGUAUGUAAUAGUUGUAAAAUGUGAAAAACAAUUUUGAAUAAGAUUUUCAAAUGUUAAAUAUUAUUUACACAAUGGAUCACUAUUCACUAUUCUUAAACAUGACAUGAUGAGGUUGUUGUUCAGUGCCUAUGGUCAAAGAACAGACACAAUGUAUGCUUAUGAUAUUAAUUAUUAUUAUAUUUAUUAUUAGUAGUUCUUUCUCAGAUUGUCUAAACCGUUAAGCUCUGUAUUUGACUUAACUCAAUGCAAUAAAGAAAAAUGUGUCCAUUUUAAAAA